rfam:Otolemur garnettii contig060736, whole genome shotgun sequence.
GCCGGGCGCUGUGGCGGGCACCUGUGGUCCCAGCUACUUGGGAGGCUGAGGCAGGAGACUCGCUUGAGCCCAGGAGUUGGAGGUUGCUGUGAGCUGUAAUGCCACGGCACUCUGCCCAGGGGGACAGCUUGAGGCUCUGUCUCAAAAAAAAAAAAAAAAAAAAAAUUUUUUUUUUUUUUGAGACAGAGUCUUAAGCUGUCGCCCUGGGUAGGGUGCCAUGGCAUCACAGCUCACAGCAACCUCCAACUCUUGGGCCUAAGCGAUUCUCUUGCCUCAG